UUUUCAUCUUUCAGCUUCCUCGGCCCCAGGAGAGUUGGGUACCUGCUCAGCGGGGGCAUUUUCUCUAUACAAGAAGAAGAAGGAGACUCGCUACCCACCCGAUAUAUUUUGUCGGACAGUUUUCUGUACAUAACAGUCACAACUGUAUCCAGGUCACAUCAAAGGAAUGACAGUUUCUCACUCCCUGGAAUUCUACUUAAUGGAGGAGGGUGUCAUUCAUUAAGAUUGUCACAGCUUCCAAGACACUGAAGUGACAGGCCUAAAAUUUUAUACAUAUUCAUUGCUUCCUCGGCCCCAGGAGAGUUGGGUACCUGCUCAGCGGGGGCAUUUUCUCUAUACAAGAAGAAGAAGGAGACUCGCUACCCACCCGAUAUAUUUUGUCGGACAGUUUUCUGUACAUAACAGUCACAACUGUAUCCAGGUCACAUCAAAGGAAUGGCAGUUUCUCACUCCCUGGAAUUCUACUUAAUGGAGGAGGGUGUCAUUCAUUAAGAUUGUCACAGCUUCCAAGACACUGAAGUGACAGGCCUAAAAUUUUAUACAUAU